rnacentral:rRNA from 1 species
AUUGAACGCUGGCGGCAGGCCUAACACAUGCAAGUCGAGCGGAGCGGCGGACGGGCGCGUAAUGCCUAGGAAUCUGCCUGGUCGUGGGGGAGAACGUCCGGAACCGGGCGCUAAUACCUCUUCCUAUCAGCUUAGCCUAGGUCGGAUUAGCUAGUUGGUGGGGUAAAGGCCUCCCAUGGCGACGAUCCGUAACUCGUCUGAGAGGGUGAUCAGUCACACUGGAACUGAGACACGGUCCAGACUCCUACGGGAGGCAGCAGUGGGGAAUAUUGGACAAUGGGCGAAAGCCUGAUCCAGCCAUGCCGCGUGUGUGAAGAAGGUCUUCGGAUUGUAAAGCACUUUAAGUUGGGAGGCGUUACCAACAGAAUAAGCACCGGCUAACUUCGUGCCAGCUGCCGCGGUAAUUC